rnacentral:rRNA from 1 species
UACAGAGGUCCCAAGCGUUGUUCGGAUUCACUGGGCGUAAAGGGUGCGUAGGCGGUCGGGUAAGUUUGAUGUGAAAUCUCUGGGCUUAACCCAGAAAUGGCAUUGAAUACUAUUCGGCUAGAGAGUCGGAGGGGGGACUGGAAUACUUGGUGUAGCAGUGAAAUGCGUAGAUAUCGAGAGGAACACCUGCGGCGAAGGCGGGUUGCUGGGCCGACACUGACGCUGAUGCGCGAAAGCCAGGGGAGCGAACGGG